rnacentral:Y_RNA from 1 species
GGCUGGUCCGAAGGUAGUGAGUUAUCUCGAUUGAUUGUUCACAGUUACAGAUUGAACUCCUGUUCUACACUUUCUUUCCCCCCCCCACUACUGCACUUGACUAGCCUUAA